UCCGCGGUAGCUCAAUGGUAGAGCAGGAAGCUGUUAACUUCAAGGUUCUAGGUUCGAAUCCUAGCCGCGGAGCCA
rnacentral:tRNA from 1 species